CCAACCUUCAAAGAGGGGAGAGGGGCUGGAGAUUUACUUCAGUAACCAAAGGCCAUUGCUUUAACCAAGAGUGCCUCAUAAAAACCCAAAAUGCUCAGGUGCGAAGAACUUCCUGGUUGGUGAAAACGUGGAGGUCAGAGGUAGAGUGGUACACUCUAAGAGAGAGCAUCUCUUCCAUCUGGCUGAUCCUGAAAUAUCCUUUUAAAAUAAGCUGGAAUCUAAGGCAUUUCCUGCAAGUCAGGUCUGAGGCUCCAUGCAGUGGAGAGACAGUACAGCGUGCAAGAGUUCCGGCUUUUGUGUCAUACUGCUUCACUGGAAGUCUAGGACCUGCCACCCCCAAUGACCUAGUUACUUAAGAACCGUAGGCCUCAAGUUUCCUCAGCAGUAAAUGUGGAUAAUAAUAGUAUAUACUUCACUGGAUCAUUGUGAGGACUAAAUAAUCCAUAUAAAAUACUUGGUACAGGAACACUGCAAACGGUUAACGACUGUUAAGAUUUUUUAAAAUAAUUAUUAGUUAUUGUUACUGAUUAAAAUGUUACAUUAUUGAGGUAUACAGGAGCAAGAAAAGGCGAAGUUGACCUGAGUGGCAAUUACCAGAGUGUUUGAUUUAUAAGUAUUCAAUAAAUGAAAUAUUCCCA